rnacentral:tRNA from 1 species
GCGCUGAUGGUGGAACUGGUAGACACGCCAUCUUGAGGGGGUGGUGAGGAAACUCGUGCGAGUUCAAGUCUCGCUCAGCGCACCA